rnacentral:rRNA from 1 species
UACGUAGGGUGCGAGCGUUGUCCGGAAUUAUUGGGCGUAAAGGGCUCGUAGGCGGUCUGUCAAGUCGGGAGUGAAAACUCAGGGCUUAACCCUGAGCCUGCUUCCGAUACGGGCAGACUAGAGGUAUGCAGGGGAGAACGGAAUUCCUGGUGUAGCGGUGAAAUGCGCAGAUAUCAGGAGGAACACCGGUGGCGAAGGCGGUUCUCUGGGCAUUACCUGACGCUGAGGAGCGAAAGUGUGGGGAGCGAACAGG